GAAAGCGAUCUUUAGGGCAACAUUCUACCAAGUGUGGCGUGCAAUAGUCAGAUUUUGCAAACCCAGACACCUAGAGAAAGAUUUUUAGUUAUCUUGGCUAGUUGCCAGGCCAGAAGGCCUGCUGCUUCUCCUGUUUGGGCCUGAGGUCUCUCACAGUCACCUCUCUCUCCCCUUAAUAAGUCCCCUAUUGAAGCACAUUUAAAAACUUUUUUUUUCCAGUAUUAAAAGUUCUACCUGGUCCCGGUGGUGCACACCUGUAAUCCCAUCACGUGGGAGACUGAAGCAGGACAGUCUUGAUAUGAGUCCGAGGCUACCCUGGAGUCACAGAGAAACACUUCCAAAACCACCAAAACAAAAAGCCUCAAGAAUUGUAAAUACUUAAAGGAAAGUGGAAAAGGCCCUCUCUGUAUUGAACGUUACCGCCCAUCAAGAACAUUUGACAGUUUGCCUGGCUCUCCAGUAGAAGCUGGCCCCACAGAUGGACUGGCUUCGCAAGUUCAAGACUGAUCAGGACAAUCAACUAUCUCUUCAAACUGACCGACCCUAAAUUAUUGGGAUAAGACACUUUAAAGGCUUCAAAACCUCCAGACCUCAGAAAGAGACUGGGCUUCCCACCUUCCCGAGUCCUCCCUCGGGUUUUCCAGAGGAACCUUCCUGUGUGUAUGCACUGCCCGGUGUCUCCUCACCCCAAUAAAUGUCUUGCUUCAACUGCU